rnacentral:misc_RNA from 1 species
CAUGCUCAGCCUCUUCUCUCAAUAGCCUUGCAUUUUCCUGCUCCAGUUGGGUCACAAGAGACUCUAGCUCUAGCGUAUAUGCCUGCUUGCGUUCCCGAGAACGAGCAGCGGAUUCCCUAUUCUUGAUCAUCCGUCUCUGUUUCUGCUGAGUGGCCUUGUCAACUGGUUCCUCAACAGCCCUUCUUUUCCCUCUUCCAACUCCAACGAUUCUCCCAUCGAUUCCACUCGCAUAUCCUCCCACCAUGGGACCUUCCAACUGCUGCGACGGAAUCUGAAGCUGAUUAUUAAGCGUGGAGUCCACAGCAAAACCCCCAGGUUCAGAAAUGACAGGAACCCUCACAUCGUCGUCACAAACAGCCCCAGCCUUAGACAAG